ACAACGUGGUAUCAAAAAUUUUUUACAUUCACACAUCAAAAUCAGCUGUGAACAUCAGCAUGGCUGUUUCAAUAUCCACAAAAUAAAAUUGUUUUUGCUAUAAAAUCAUACAAUAAAAAAUAGAAAAGUGUAGUUAUAGUUGAGAAACCGUGUAAAAUAUUCAGUUGUAUCUUGGCGAGCUAUCGGUGUUGAUGUUGACUAAAAGUGUUGCGUCAUGACAGAAUAGCCCCUCACUGACAAAUAAAUACAAUAAAAAUUGCUCACGAGAGAUUACGGCAAACAGGGAGCAUUUCCAUUUCGCUCGUUUAACGUGUCUGUCUAGUAAUUCGCUAAUGUGAUAAAGUGUGCUAACAUUAAUAAAAUGAGCAGCGUCCGAUUAAGCUUUGUUUCCGUCGGAAGGAUUGCUGUUAGGAGAAAUUCGCAGUUGACAUCAGGUAGCGCACACACGUGCCGAGCGCUGCGGCGUUCGCUGCCGAGGCCGCUGAGCACGUGCGCCGUGCUCUGCAAGAGCCCCACCGAGCAGCCGCCGGGGCCUCCGCACGCCUCCAAAGAAGCCCCGGGAACAGGCUCAUCUUCCAGCGGCAAGAAGGGCGGCAGCGGCGUGCUCACGUGCCCCAAGUGCGGCGACCCGUGCACGCACGUUGAGACGUUCGUGAGCUCCACGCGCUUCGUCAAGUGCGACAAGUGCCACCACUUCUUCGUGGUGCUCAGCGAGGUCGACACCAAGAAGAGCAUCAAGGACAAUGCCGACAACAAAUCCGGCUUCUACAGAAAGCCGCCGCCGCCGCCGAAGAAGAUCUUCGAGUACCUCAACAAGCACGUGGUGGGGCAGGAGUACGCCAAGAAGGUGCUGUCGGUGGCCGUGUACAACCACUACAAGCGCAUCCACAACAACGUCACGGGCACCGACGCGCACCACCCGCUCCACCACACGCACAGAGAUCUCUUGCACCUGAGCCACAACCCGGCCAGCAGUGGGGGAACGGCCGGCGGCGCGGAAGUCCUUGAAAGGAACCAUCACGAGCUCAGGCUCGACAAGAGCAACGUGCUGUUACUGGGGCCCACCGGCAGCGGCAAGACGCUCCUGGCGCAGACCAUCGCGCAGUGCCUGGACGUGCCGUUCGCCAUCUGCGACUGCACCACGCUGACGCAGGCCGGCUACGUGGGCGAGGACAUCGAGAGCGUCAUCGCCAAGCUGCUGCAGGACGCCAACUACAACGUGGAGCGUGCACAGACAGGCAUCGUGUUUCUGGACGAGGUGGACAAAAUUGGGGCGGUGCCCGGAAUACAUCAACUAAGGGAUGUUGGUGGCGAGGGCGUGCAACAGGGCAUGCUGAAGAUGCUGGAGGGCGCGGUGGUGUCGGUGCCGGAGCGCAACUCGCGCAAGCUGCGGGGCGACGCCGUGCAAGUCGACACCACCAACAUCCUGUUCGUGGCCAGCGGCGCCUACAACGGCCUCGACAGGCUGAUCCAGCGGCGCAACAACGAGAAGUACCUCGGGUUCGGCGCGUGGGACCCCAAGUCGGGGCGGCGCGCGGCGCUGGCGGCGGCCGCGGCGGACGCGUCGCCGCUGGACAGCGCGCGCGCCGAGGCGGACGAGCGCGACCACUGGCUGCGCGCCGUGCAGGCACGGGACCUCAUCGACUUCGGCAUGAUCCCGGAGUUCGUGGGCCGCUUCCCGGUGCUGGUGCCGUUCCACAGCCUCAACCAGGACCUGCUCGUGCGGAUACUCACGGAGCCCAAGAACGCUAUUAUGGCCCAGUACAAGCUGCUGUUCGCGAUGGACAAGUGCGAGCUGUCGUUCAGCGACGAGGCGCUGCGGGCCGUGGCCUCGCUCGCCAUGGAGCGCAAGACGGGCGCCAGGGGCCUGCGCGCCAUCAUGGAGAACCUGCUGCUGGAGGUGAUGUUCGAGAUCCCCGGCUCCGACGUGGCGUGCGUGCACAUCCACGAGGGCUGCGUGGCGCGCGCCGAGCCGCCCGCCGUGCGGCGCCGCAGCCCCGAGCGCGAGCCCGCGCCGCAGCGCUGGCCCUCGGUGCGCCAAGCCAACUGAAGCGUUAGAAACCGCCGCCUUGUGGCCCCGCACUAACGGGUGCUCUAUAUGACACAGUGAUCUCAAGCCAGAGUCUGAGCCGUCUGUCAGUCAGUGCGCGCUGUGAGGUGCGAGUGUGGUGGCGAACGAACUAACACACACGUUACGAAUACCGGCGACCCCUACACUGUGAACGCAAGUCUUUAUACUGUAAAUUAAUAAUAGAAAAAAAAAUUGCAAGAAUGAAAAGUUAAAUAGUAAAAUAAAUUUUUUUUUUUUGUAAACCUGACUUUGUUUUGAAUUGUAGUUUUUGAAAGUUUGAUUGAUAUUUUAUUUUUUGGGUCCAACUAAAUGGAUUAUUGACUAAUAAUAUCGACACUAUCCUAAUCAGAUGUGAAAUUAUUUCGGCCGAUAUAACAACUGUUUCGUACUAAAUGUACUUGCAUUCCACUCAGUCGUAUUCAUAGACUACUUUUGAUAGCUGUUACUAGGCCCUGCCUUAGAAACGGCAUUGAAACCUUAUCAUUGACGUAACAAAGCAAAUUUCGUGUGUAUUUUAAUAUCUUAAUGCUAAGAUUUCAAAUUAAUCUUCUAAAACAUUUUUCUAAUUAGCACAAACACGGUUUAAUCUUCAGUAACCUGUAGCAUAUAAUGAUAUAAUACUUUGAGUACACAAUAUAUAAUUUGUAAGGAAGAAAUUAAACGAUUUUAUUGCUGUUCAUAUAAUGUCCAAAUUUUAUACCUAGUAAAUUGUAUAAAUUAAAGGACAAAAAAGCCAACUGUAAAUUGGUACCAAAAUAAAAAUUUUUUUGCAAACAAAAUAUAUGGUAAAAAAUUUAUGCACUGGUGACUGUCUGAACGUCGAAGAAUCAAGAAUUUAGAAUUUCAAUAAGCGAACCGUGGCCGACUGGGUUAAAAGUUAAUACCCACUGGGAUAUAUUAUCGGGUUCGAGGCCCACAAAUGUUAAUAUGUAUUUAAUAUUUAAAUAUAUAUAUAUAUAUAUUAGUUCGUGAGUUUUUAGUUCCUCUUUUAAAUUAUUCGUUCUUGUAAAAUUAAAUAGAAUAUAAUUUUAAAAAAACAAUGUUGUAAUGUCGUCCACCAUACAACUUAACUCUUGUGAUGUAAAUUACUGUAAAUAUAUAGAGAAAUAUAAACUAGAUUAAAUAAAUAGUUAAGAACGGUUAGAUUACGAUUUUUUUUAUGCCUUGAUAAGUUGUAAGUAAGUAUCAAAACAUAACAAAAAAAAGUUUGGCAACACAAUGGAGAAAGUUAUAUUUUGACAUUUUUCUUUUUAAUUUUAUUUUAAUCAACUUUUUUAUUUAAAAUAUUGUGUACAGUUGCAAUGUGAUUAUAGUAACUAAUAAGGUUUUCUUUUGUUUUUUGUAAUUUCUAGUUGAGUUAAAUUAGAAAGACAGAAAAUAAUCACUUUACAGCUAGAGUUAUAAUAGACUAAGCCUAUUUUCGAGAUAAAAUAUAAAGAAAACAACUCA